AGAUCAUUAUGUGGGCAAUUCCUUAGUAAACCUUCGUAUCUCUCCCACGCCUCGUAUAAGGAAUCCCCAGCUUGUUGCUCAAAGUUUUCUAUGGCUUUCUUCAAAUU